rnacentral:rRNA from 1 species
GACAGAGGGGGCAAGCGUUGCUCGGAAUUACUGGGCGUAAAGGGCGCGUAGGCGGGACGGCAAGUCGGUCGUGAAAUCCCUCGGCUCAACUGAGGAACGUCGAUCGAUACUGCCGUUCUUGAGGGUUGCAGAGGAGACUGGAAUUCCCGGUGUAGCGGUGAAAUGUGUAGAGAUCGGGAGGAACACCGGUGGCGAAGGCGGGUCUCUGGGCAACUCCUGACGCUGAGGCGCGAAAGCGUGGGGAGCAAACGGGAUUAGAUACCCCGGUAGUCCACGCCGUAAACGAUGACAACUAGGUGUCGGGUGUCCUACGAGGCGUUCGGUGCCGCAGCCAACGCGAUAAGUUGUCCGCCUGGGGAGUACGGCCGCAAGGCUAAAACUUAAAUGAAUUGACGG